AUGAGAUGUCAAAAAGAGAGUGGUGGUAAUACAGUACUCAAAGAGUUGAAAAUGAUGGACACACAGCGUGCUUUGCUGGCAGUGGAGCGGCUGCAGCAGAGACUGAAGAAGAGGGGAGAACUGCCUGCUGAGGAAAAACUCAGUCUGCUCAAGAGUGUCUUACAGAGUCCCCUGUUUAACCAGAUACUCAACAUGCAAGAGACUGGACAACAGCAUGAGAACCAACAGGUCAGACAUCAGCAUCAUCACAGUCCAUCACACAAAAAAGCAUACACUAACACUAAAAUAUGCCCAAACAUUAAACAGUGGGCUUUACCAUCAUUUAUAUAGCCUAUAUAAAUGUAUUAAAUUAAAUUCAGUAAAGAAAUGUCUCCUCAUAUUAUGUAAAAUAAAAAAUAGUUGGCUGAUAGUAGUUGCAUAAUUACUGUAUACAUUAUACAGCAUGAUUAUCUCAUUAACAUUAUAACUGAUCUUGUGAAAUGCAGAAUUGAACAAAAGUAUAUUUUAUGCUGAUAUCCAACUCCACUUCUAUUACCUGAAAUAGAAAUUUACAUGCACAUAUAUUUUAUAAGGCAUUUAUACAUCCAGGGAGCAUAAUUUCAGAUAUUCCCUGAUGUGAACAGUGCUUUGAUUCACCUCUUACAUCCUCUCUGGCUCUCUGGGUUUAUUAUUAGUUGAAAUAAAACAUGAAAUAAACCUUUCUUAAAGGAAUAUUUCAGAUCACACCCAAGUGACAACAUUUGUGGCAUAAUGUUGUCCCUCUUUGCGUUAAAAAAGAAAAAUUGUGGUAAGUGAUGCACUUAAAAUGAAAGUGAAUGGGGCCAGUCCACAGUUUGAUUCAAUAGUAAAACCAAA
rnacentral:lncRNA from 1 species